AAGAAGAUUAUAGAACAGAUGACGCUGCCACAUCUAACGUUACUCAGAUGCCACAAGAUGACCAGAUGUGUUGAUGAAAAUUGAUGCAGUGUCACAAAGUUUUUAAUUUAUCUUUACUUAUACAUCACAAAACCAUCGGUUUUUAUUUUGAUUAUUAUAUCAUAAUAUUACUAUUUCAUUUAUUUAAAUAAAGGAUUUUUUUUUCUAUUUUAAAAAGAAUGCAUUUUGUAGUAAAAAUUAAGUUAGGUACUUGUAUUCUUUAAUGUUGCAUAAAUUUCUUCAAUUGAGCCACAAAUGUACAAAUUAAAUUGGUUACUUAGAGAUAAGAUAAGUAAUGCAUUUCGUAAGAAUCUUCUACACAUUUCUUGUCCUUUUGCAAAAUGUCCAUUCAAGUGUCAACACAAUACAUCUAUUGUUAUAUUUCUUAUUUCAAUACUUUUGCUUGUCUUUUAACUUUGUAUCAUUUGUUUUAAUUACUUCAGUUCAGACAUAUGUUUUAACCUACUUCUUGAAAAUUCUUGAAUGGAUCUGUGAAUUUAAAUAUAUUUUUUUUCACUCUAGCUUUCCUUCUAAAUUAGUUUAUCAUUUGUUUUUCAAAAAGUUUCAUUGUGAGGCAGGGGCAUUCUGGAAGGAUUUUGUAUAAGAUUGUUGCGAACUGGAUGUAGUGCAGAAAAAAGGGAGACCUUCCAAUAUAGAUAUUUUUACAAAGAUAUGUUUCGCUAGUGGGAUCUCAUGCACUCGAAAUAAGUAAUUUACAUUGUAUAAUGAACAUCUCCAAUUGUUGAAUAGUAAGACAACAAAAUAUGAAUUUGUUAGAUAUUAAUGAAAAUUUUACAAAACAUUGUAAUGAAGUGUUUAUUUUAGUAGCAUCACUUAUUUUUUAUCUAUAAAUUGCAUUGCCAUUUAGUAACAUAACAUUGGGGUUUUAUUUGUAGUUGUAAAAUAUGUAAGUGAAGAGUACAAUUUAAAAGCAAUAAAUGAUUUAAAACUA